CAUGUAUUUUAGCUUUAUUGAAGACAUUACAGUAGACAAACAAGUAGACAAACACAUGCUUUAUAAAAUAUACAUUCUCAUGUGUGAGAAAAUAUAAAUAGAUACUAGGGAAGGGCCACACUGAACGACAACUUGGCUUAUAAUUCUCUUUACAUACAUCGAGUACCAUGGCUGCUCGGACUGACAUCCUCUGACGGGUAAAAAGGGAGAAGGGGAAAGGAGAGGGGAGAAGUAGUGUCUCAGUGGAUCAAGAGGCCACUUUAGGUAGCCAAGAGAUAUCCAAAGAGCACUUGACCACCUGCUGAUCAAUUAGAGCUGACAAAGAUCACUUUACUCCUUACAUUUGGAAACAGGUUCAAAUCAAGCUGUUUCUUUACCUUCACCCCACCUGUUGGUAGAGAUUAUCAGAACUGCUAGGAAACACUCAACAUACAACCUUGAGGGAGCAGGUCCAAGUAUCACUCCUCACACAUGCACACAAACACACACACACACGUCCCUCACUACCCACAAAAUCUCCAGGUGAUUCACGGGCUUUCAGGUGUUGUUAAGAGAAGUUUGUAACAUAUCUCAAUUCAGAACAUGUUACUUUUGUCAACAAACCAAGCAGCUGUAAAAGGAACU
rnacentral:lncRNA from 1 species